rnacentral:rRNA from 1 species
GAUGAACGCUGGCGGCGUGCCUAACACAUGCAAGUCGAGCGAACAGACGAGGAGCUUGGCCUUCUGACGUCAGCGGCGCACGCGUGAGUAACACGCGGAUAACCCACCUACUACACUGGGAUAACUCCGGGAAACAGGAGCUAAAACCGCACAAUAUAUUGAACCGCAGGGUCCAAGAGAGAAAGACGGUGGUGCCGACACUUAAACAUGGACCGGCGCUGCAUUAGCUGGUUGGUAAGGUAACGGCUUACCAAGGCGACGAUGGGUAGCCGACCGGGAAGGGUGAUGGGCCACAUUGGAACUGGGACACGCUCCGGACUCCUCCGGGGGGCGCCAGUGGGGAACCUUCGGCAUUGGGCGAAGGCCUGACGGGGCACCGCCGCGUGAGGAAUGAGGGUCUCCGGUUCUUAAAACUCUUUUAUUAGGGAAAAACAAAUUUUUGCGUAACUAUGCACGUCUUGACGGUACCUGAUCAGAAAGCCACGGCUAACUACGUG